AGUGGGUUUGACUGUAACAGUCUCAAUCCCUAGCAUCUAGCUUCAUACUCUAUGUCAAAGGAUCUAAGCCGAUAAACAUUAUCAGUUUCUUUUUUGGAAAAAAAUAAUGUGGAUAUUCCUUCUUGUUCUGUUAUGACAGUGCGGCGAUAGAACUGAUCCAAAAUAGCAGAUAAGACACAAUAUUAUCAAUGGAUAAAUUCUAAAAUACCAAAAAACACAAAAAUAGAAGAUAUAUGUGUCCAACAUUUCUAAAUGCUAAUAUUGCAAUGCCAUUAUAGCAGAUCAAUAUUCCAAUAUUAUAAACUGAACAAUACGAUAAAAAUGGACAUCCAAACUGACAUCAAAAAUCACUGUUGAGGGAGUUACAAUAGCAUACAAGCGAGAACUAAAUGAUUAGGACAAAUUAAUAUAGCACACCAAAUAGAUGAAUAACGCUCACAAUUGAAUGCAUAUAAAGAAAUAAACAUCAAGUAGAAAGGUAGCGAGCAUGAACCAUCAAGAAAACAUGUAUUUCGUGAUGGAUGAUGAAGCAGGCAUUAGAACUUUGUGAAUGGAAUUGAUACAUUGACAAAGUAAUGUUAUAUGUCAGCUAACAAGCUAGUGAACAAGAGAACUUAUGUGAGAUCGCUACUUUGAAUUCAAACUGAUUGGAUCGUGCAAAACUCAUGUCUUGGUGGAUGAAGGGAAGUUAGAACCUUUGACUAAGCCAAGUCAGGACACUAGCCUUUGCUAUUUGAAUGUUGCAUCUCUGGGCCAACAAAGAUUCUCAUGUUACAAAAUAUUAAAAAUUAAGCAAGAGUAGGUUUAUUUAAUCUGAAAUGUGUGUCCGUAUCCUGUUGUGGUUGAAAGUCAAGAAUACAGGUAAUCAAGAACUUGUUUACCUUAAAAGCACAAGCACCAGGUAUGGGUGUCUCAUGCUAAAAGAAACUUGCAUGGUAACCUGUAGAACUGAAGGUGAACUGUUAAAGAGAAUAUGAGUCCACGAUACAUUGCUUAAUUGGUUGAGUGAGUGCUUAGGAUCUUGAAUGUCAUGGGAUUUAGCUUCGGAUCAUUAGUAGUAUCAUCUUGUACUAGAAAAACAUAUUAUAUGCUUUAGAUAAUAAGGGCCUAAUAUCAAUAGAAUGGAAGCUGAGUGUAUCGAGCGCAACUUCAACAAAAAAUGAAAAUGAGGAACCAAUCAAGAUUAAUGGACAAGAGAUGGCAGAGUGCGAACAGUUUUAUUUUUGCACAGCAGAGUGGAGAGAUAAUGAAAUCACAUGUAGUAGAAUUAAAGCUAUAGAUUGAAGAAAUUGCAAAGCGCUUUCAGGUAGUGACAUGACCAAUGCAAACUAAGACAACUAAGGAGAAAAUUUAAUGAAGUAACAAUAAGGCUCAACAAUAUAUGGCUCAAAAUGUUGAGCAAUAACGAGGAUUCAAGCAAAAGAAAUGAAUGUUGCAGAGAUGAGAAUAUUAACAUAGAAUCAUGAGGAACGAGUACGUUAGAGAUGGAAGUCGCACUAAAUGAGGAAAAUGGUAAUAAGUCAGUAACUGAUAAACUCCUGCCUAUUUUUACCAAAAAAAAAACUCCUGCCUAUCAGUCACUUCGAAGUAACAUAACACCAAAUACAUGUCAGAUUCAGCAAUGUCAUCAUGUUGAAGUAACAUAAUGCAGAAGAUACGUCAGGCCAAGAAAAGCUGUCCCACAAAGUGACAAAAGGAAAAAUAACCUAAACUUUAAAAAAAAAAAAAGGAAAAAAUUGAAAACAAACUAACAUUAAAAGCUGUUAUCCAGACAAUCCCAACUCA
rnacentral:lncRNA from 1 species